rnacentral:rRNA from 1 species
GUGCCAGCAGCCGCGGUAAGACGUAGGAUGCGAGCGUUGUCCGGAUUCAUUGGGCGUAAAGAGUUCGUAGGCGGUUUGUUAAGUCUGAUGUUAAAGAUCGGGGCUCAACCCUGGGAGUGCAUUGGAUACUGGCAGACUGGAGUGCAGUAGAGGCGAGUGGAAUUCCCAGUGUAGCGGUGAAAUGCGUAGAUAUUGGGAAGAACACCGGUGGCGCAGGCGACUCGCUGGGCUGUAACUGACGCUGAGGAACGAAAGCUAGGGGAGCAAAUGGGAUUAGAUACCCUGGUAGUCC